rnacentral:rRNA from 2 species
GGAUCCAGACUUUGAUUAUGGCUCAGGAUGAACGCCGGCGGCGUGCCUAACACAUGCAAGUCGAACGAAGCUUGACGGAUGAUUUCUUCGGAAUGAAACCAGAUAUGACUUAGUGGCGGACGGGUGAGUAACACGUGAGCAACCUGCCUUUCAGAGGGGGAUAACGGCUGGAAACGGUCGCUAAUACCGCAUGAUGUGUUCGGAUGGCAUCAUCUGAACAUCAAAGAUUUAUCGCUGAAAGAUGGGCUCGCGUCUGAUUAGAUAGUUGGUGGGGUAACGGCCUACCAAGUCGACGAUCAGUAGCCGGACUGAGAGGUUGAACGGCCACAUUGGGACUGAGAUACGGCCCAGACUCCUACGGGAGGCAGCAGUGGGGAAUAUUGCACAAUGGGGGAAACCCUGAUGCAGCAACGCCGCGUGAAGGAUGACGGUUUUCGGAUUGUAAACUUCUUUUCUUAGUGACGAAGACAGUGACGGUAGCUAAGGAAUAAGCAUCGGCUAACUACGUGCCAGCAGCCGCGGUAAUACGUAGGAUGCAAGCGUUAUCCGGAUUUACUGGGUGUAAAGGGAGCGCAGGCGGGACUGCAAGUUGGAUGUGAAAUACCGUGGCUUAACCACGGAACUGCAUCCAAAACUGUAGUUCUUGAGUGAAGUAGAGGCAAGCGGAAGUCCGAGUGUAGCGGUGAAAUGCGUAGAUAUUCGGAGGAACACCAGUGGCGAAGGCGGCUUGCUGGGCUUUAACUGACGCUGAGGCUCGAAAGUGUGGGGAGCAAACAGGAUUAGAUACCCUGGUAGUCCACACUGUAAACGAUGAUAGCUAGGUGUGGGGGGUCUGACCCCUUCCGUGCCGGAGUUAACGCAAUAAGCUAUCCACCUGGGGAGUACGACCGCAAGGUUGCAACUCAAAGGAAUUGACGG